rnacentral:lncRNA from 1 species
UAUGUUAUAAAGGAAACCAACUCAAUCAUUUUUCCAGUGUUACAUUAGCACCAUCUUUAUUAUUUUGAGAUCCUUAUAAUCCUAACAACCAUCUCAAUCUCGUCAAAAUAAUACGAAAACCCUAUCAUAAUCAUUGGUUACGCAAGAAUAAAAUUGAAAAUAAGAAGAAACACAGAUGAAUAGAGUGACAAAAUGAGAGUGUUAGAGAUGUGUAACCAUCAAAAGAUCAACCAAUAUCAGAAAUCACUUGAUUUGUACAUUUGAUAGAUAAGAAAGAAAACUACUCAUAAAAGAUAGAAAAAAAAGGAGAAUAUGACAAUUUUUCAGCAGUACAUAUUUUUUUACCCUUUGUAUUUUGUUUAUACAAUCAUAAAGUGAUUAUGAACCAGAGAUUUCUAUUAAAUAAUGUAAGCUAAAUAUUUUUAUUAAGUACAUCCUCAAUUAUAUGAAUCAACCAAACAUGUAAUCAGUUAAAAACCUUGACAAUAAUUAGUUUAGAAAGAUAUGUAUUGAACAUCAAAAUUAAUUAAAUAUAUACUUAUAUCCUUAAGAACAUAAAAUGUCAUCUUCUAUAUUCUGAUAAUUAAACAAUUAACAUAAGUUAUAUAGAUUCAAAAAUAUGCUAAAAUACUAAUUAUAUGUAAAAAAAUGAAAAAGAAAAAAGAAAAAAGAAUAAUUACAAGAAAAUGAAAUAUAACAAAAGAAAAUAGAAUAAUUACAAGAAAAUGAAAAUGAGACCGUAUGUUAUAAAGGAAACAAACUCAAUCAUUUUUCCAGUGUUACAUUAGCACCACCUUUAUUAUUGUGAGAUCCUCAUAAUCCUAACAAACAUCUCAAUCUCAUCCAAACAAUACGAAAAACCCUAUCAUAAUCAUUGGUGAUGCAAGAAUAAAGUUUAAAAUAAGAGGAAACACAGAUAAAUGGAGUGACAAAAUGUGAGAGUUAGAGAUGUGUAACCAUCAAAAGAUCAACCUAUAUCAGAAAUCACUUGAUUUGUACAUUUCAUAGAUAAGAAAGAAAAUUACUCAUAAAAGUUAGAACAAAAAGGAAAACAUGACAAUUUUUCAGCAGUACGAAUUUUUUUACCCUUUUUAUUUUGUUUAUACAAUCAUAAAGUGAUUAUGAACCAGAGUUUUCUAUUAAGUAUUAUAAAGUAAAUAUUUAUAUUAAGUACAACCUGAAUUAUAUAAAUCAAUCAAACAUGUAAUGAGUAACAAACCUUGACAUUAAUUAGUUUAGAAAGAUAUGUAUUGAACAUCAAAAUUUAUUAAAUAUAUACUUAUAUCCUAAAGAACAUAAAAUGUCAUCUUCUAUAUUCUGAUAAUUAAACAAUUAACAUAAGUUAUGUAGAUUAAAAAAUAUGCUAAAAUACUAAUUAUAAGUAGAAAAUGAAAAAGAAAAAAAGAAAAAAGAAUAAUUACAAGAAAAUGAAAAAGAAAAAAUGAAAAUAGAAUAAUUACAAGAAAAUGAAAAUGUGACCGUAUGUUAUAAAGGAAACCAACUCAAUCAUUUUUCCAGUGUUACAUUAGCACCAUCUUUAUUAUUUUGAGAUCCUUAUAAUCCUAACAACCAUCUCAAUCUCAUCAAAAUAAUACGAAAACCCUAUCAUAAUCAUUGGUGACGCAAGAAUAAAAUUGAAAAUAAGAAGAAACACAGAUGAAUAGAGUGACAAAAUGAGAGAGUUAGAGAUGUGUAACCAUCAAAAGAUCAACCUAUAUCAGAAAUCACUUGAUUUGUACAUUUGAUAGAUAAGAAAGAAAAUUACUCAUAAAAGAUAGAAAAAAAAGGAAAAUAUGACAAUUUUUCAGCAGUACGUAUUUUUUUACCCUUUUUAUUUUGUUUAUACAAUCAUAAAGUGAUUAUGAACCAGAGUUUUCUAUUAAGUAUUGUAAAGUAAAUAUUUAUAUUAAGUACAACCUCAAUUAUAUAAAUCAAUCAAACAUGUAAUGAGUAACAAACCUUGACAUUAAUUAGUUUAGAAAGAUAUGUAUUGAACAUCAAAAUUUAUUAAAUAUAUACUUAUAUCCUAAAGAACAUAAAAUGUCAUCUUCUAUAUUCUGAUAAUUAAACAAUUAACAUAAGUUAUGUAGAUUAAAAAAUAUGCUAAAAUACUAAUUAUAAGUAGAAAAUGAAAAAGAAAAAAAGAAAAAAGAAUAAUUACAAGAAAAUGAAAAAGAAAAAAUGAAAAUAGAAUAAUUACAAGAAAAUGAAAAUGUGACCGUAUGUUAUAAAGGAAACCAACUCAAUCAUUUUUCCAGUGUUACAUUAGCACCAUCUUUAUUAUUUUGAGAUCCUUAUAAUCCUAACAACCAUCUCAAUCUCAUCAAAAUAAUACGAAAACCCUAUCAUAAUCAUUGGUGACGCAAGAAUAAAAUUGAAAAUAAGAAGAAACACAGAUGAAUAGAGUGACAAAAUGAGAGAGUUAGAGAUGUGUAACCAUCAAAAGAUCAACCUAUAUCAGAAAUCACUUGAUUUGUACAUUUGAUAGAUAAGAAAGAAAAUUACUCAUAAAAGAUAGAAAAAAAAGGAAAAUAUGACAAUUUUUCAGCAGUACGUAUUUUUUUACCCUUUUUAUUUUGUUUAUACAAUCAUAAAGUGAUUAUGAACCAGAGUUUUCUAUUAAGUAUUGUAAAGUAAAUAUUUAUAUUAAGUACAACCUCAAUUAUAUAAAUCAAUCAAACAUGUAAUGAGUAACAAACCUUGACAUUAAUUAGUUUAGAAAGAUAUGUAUUGAACAUCAAAAUUUAUUAAAUAUAUACUUAUAUCCUAAAGAACAUAAAAUGUCAUCUUCUAUAUUCUGAUAAUUAAACAAUUAACAUAAGUUAUGUAGAUUAAAAAAUAUGCUAAAAUACUAAUUAUAAGUAGAAAAUGAAAAAGAAAAAAAGAAAAAAGAAUAAUUACAAGAAAAUGAAAAAGAAAAAAUGAAAAUAGAAUAAUUACAAGAAAAUGAAAAUGUGACCGUAUGUUAUAAAGGAAACCAACUCAAUCAUUUUUCCAGUGUUACAUUAGCACCAUCUUUAUUAUUUCGAGAUCCUUAUAAUCCUAAAAACCAUCUCAAUCUCAUCAAAAUAAUACGAAAACCCUAUCAUAAUAAUUGGUGACGCAAGAAUAAAAUUGAAAAUAAGAAGAAACACAGAUGAAUAGAGUGACAAAAUGAGAGAGUUAGAGAUGUGUAACCAUCAAAAGAUCAUCCUAUAUCAGAAAUCACUUGAUUUGUACAUUUGAUAGAUAAGAAAGUAAACUACUCAUAAAAGAUAGAAAAAAAAGGGAAAUAUGACAAUUUUUCAGCAGUACGUAUUUUUUUACCCAUUUUAUUUUGUUUAUACAAUCAUAAAGUCAUUAUGAACCAGAAUUUUCUAUUAAGUAUUGUAAAGCAAAUAUUUAUAUUAAGUACAACCUCAAUUAUAUAAAUCAAUCAAACAUGUAAUGAGUAACAAACCUUGACAUUAAUUAGUUUAGAAAGAUAUGUAUUCUGAUAAUUAAACAAUUAACAUAAGUUAUGUAGAUUAAAAAAUAUGCUAAAAUACUAAUUAUAAGUAGAUAAUGAAAAAGAAAAAAAGAAAAAAGAAUAAUUACAAGAAAAUGAAAAAGAAAAAAAGAAAAUAGAAUAAUUACAAGAAAAUGAAAAUGAGACUGUAUGUUAUAAAGAAUAAUAGAAUAAAAUUUAAAAUAAGAGGAAACACAGAUGAGUGGAGUGACAAAAUGAGAGAGUUGGAGAUGUGUAACCAUCAAAAGAUCAACCUAUAUCAGAAAUCACUUGAUUUGUACAUUUCAUAGAUAAGGAAGAAAAUUACUCAUAAAAGAUAGAAAAAAAUGGGAAAUAUGACAAUUUUUCAGCAGUACGUAUUUUUUUACCCAUUUUAUUUUGUUUAUACAAUCAUAAAGUCAUUAUGAACCAGAGUUUUCUAUUAAGUAUUGUAAUGUAAAUAUUUAUAUUAAGUACAACCUCAAUUAUAUAAAUCAAUCAAACAUGUAAUGAGUAACAAACCUUGACAUUAAUUAGUUUAGAAAGAUAUGUAUUGAACAUCAAAAUUUAUUAAAUAUAUACUUAUAUCCUAAAGAACAUAAAAUGUCAUCUUCUAUAUUCUGAUAAUUAAACAAUUAACAUAAGUUAUGUAGAUUAAAAAAUAUGCUAAAAUACUAAUUAUAAGUAGAAAAUGAAAAAGAAAAAAAGAAAAAAGAAUAAUUACAAGAAAAUGAAAAAGAAAAAAUGAAAAUAGAAUAAUUACAAGAAAAUGAAAAUGUGACCGUAUGUUAUAAAGGAAACCAACUCAAUCAUUUUUCCAGUGUUACAUUAGCACCAUCUUUAUUAUUUUGAGAUCCUUAUAAUCCUAACAACCAUCUCAAUCUCAUCAAAAUAAUACGAAAACCCUAUCAUAAUCAUUGGUGACGCAAGAAUAAAAUUGAAAAUAAGAAGAAACACAGAUGAAUAGAGUGACAAAAUGAGAGAGUUAGAGAUGUGUAACCAUCAAAAGAUCAACCUAUAUCAGAAAUCACUUGAUUUGUACAUUUGAUAGAUAAGAAAGAAAAUUACUCAUAAAAGAUAGAAAAAAAAGGAAAAUAUGACAAUUUUUCAGCAGUACGUAUUUUUUUACCCUUUUUAUUUUGUUUAUACAAUCAUAAAGUGAUUAUGAACCAGAGUUUUCUAUUAAGUAUUGUAAAGUAAAUAUUUAUAUUAAGUACAACCUCAAUUAUAUAAAUCAAUCAAACAUGUAAUGAGUAACAAACCUUGACAUUAAUUAGUUUAGAAAGAUAUGUAUUGAACAUCAAAAUUUAUUAAAUAUAUACUUAUAUCCUAAAGAACAUAAAAUGUCAUCUUCUAUAUUCUGAUAAUUAAACAAUUAACAUAAGUUAUGUAGAUUAAAAAAUAUGCUAAAAUACUAAUUAUAAGUAGAAAAUGAAAAAGAAAAAAAGAAAAAAGAAUAAUUACAAGAAAAUGAAAAAGAAAAAAUGAAAAUAGAAUAAUUACAAGAAAAUGAAAAUGUGACCGUAUGUUAUAAAGGAAACCAACUCAAUCAUUUUUCCAGUGUUACAUUAGCACCAUCUUUAUUAUUUUGAGAUCCUUAUAAUCCUAACAACCAUCUCAAUCUCAUCAAAAUAAUACGAAAACCCUAUCAUAAUCAUUGGUGACGCAAGAAUAAAAUUGAAAAUAAGAAGAAACACAGAUGAAUAGAGUGACAAAAUGAGAGAGUUAGAGAUGUGUAACCAUCAAAAGAUCAACCUAUAUCAGAAAUCACUUGAUUUGUACAUUUGAUAGAUAAGAAAGAAAAUUACUCAUAAAAGAUAGAAAAAAAAGGAAAAUAUGACAAUUUUUCAGCAGUACGUAUUUUUUUACCCUUUUUAUUUUGUUUAUACAAUCAUAAAGUGAUUAUGAACCAGAGUUUUCUAUUAAGUAUUGUAAAGUAAAUAUUUAUAUUAAGUACAACCUCAAUUAUAUAAAUCAAUCAAACAUGUAAUGAGUAACAAACCUUGACAUUAAUUAGUUUAGAAAGAUAUGUAUUGAACAUCAAAAUUUAUUAAAUAUAUACUUAUAUCCUAAAGAACAUAAAAUGUCAUCUUCUAUAUUCUGAUAAUUAAACAAUUAACAUAAGUUAUGUAGAUUAAAAAAUAUGCUAAAAUACUAAUUAUAAGUAGAAAAUGAAAAAGAAAAAAAGAAAAAAGAAUAAUUACAAGAAAAUGAAAAAGAAAAAAUGAAAAUAGAAUAAUUACAAGAAAAUGAAAAUGUGACCGUAUGUUAUAAAGGAAACCAACUCAAUCAUUUUUCCAGUGUUACAUUAGCACCAUCUUUAUUAUUUUGAGAUCCUUAUAAUCCUAACAACCAUCUCAAUCUCAUCAAAAUAAUACGAAAACCCUAUCAUAAUCAUUGGUGACGCAAGAAUAAAAUUGAAAAUAAGAAGAAACACAGAUGAAUAGAGUGACAAAAUGAGAGAGUUAGAGAUGUGUAACCAUCAAAAGAUCAACCUAUAUCAGAAAUCACUUGAUUUGUACAUUUGAUAGAUAAGAAAGAAAAUUACUCAUAAAAGAUAGAAAAAAAAGGAAAAUAUGACAAUUUUUCAGCAGUACGUAUUUUUUUACCCUUUUUAUUUUGUUUAUACAAUCAUAAAGUGAUUAUGAACCAGAGUUUUCUAUUAAGUAUUGUAAAGUAAAUAUUUAUAUUAAGUACAACCUCAAUUAUAUAAAUCAAUCAAACAUGUAAUGAGUAACAAACCUUGACAUUAAUUAGUUUAGAAAGAUAUGUAUUGAACAUCAAAAUUUAUUAAAUAUAUACUUAUAUCCUAAAGAACAUAAAAUGUCAUCUUCUAUAUUCUGAUAAUUAAACAAUUAACAUAAGUUAUGUAGAUUAAAAAAUAUGCUAAAAUACUAAUUAUAAGUAGAAAAUGAAAAAGAAAAAAAGAAAAAAGAAUAAUUACAAGAAAAUGAAAAAGAAAAAAUGAAAAUAGAAUAAUUACAAGAAAAUGAAAAUGUGACCGUAUGUUAUAAAGGAAACCAACUCAAUCAUUUUUCCAGUGUUACAUUAGCACCAUCUUUAUUAUUUUGAGAUCCUUAUAAUCCUAACAACCAUCUCAAUCUCAUCAAAAUAAUACGAAAACCCUAUCAUAAUCAUUGGUGACGCAAGAAUAAAAUUGAAAAUAAGAAGAAACACAGAUGAAUAGAGUGACAAAAUGAGAGAGUUAGAGAUGUGUAACCAUCAAAAGAUCAACCUAUAUCAGAAAUCACUUGAUUUGUACAUUUGAUAGAUAAGAAAGAAAAUUACUCAUAAAAGAUAGAAAAAAAAGGAAAAUAUGACAAUUUUUCAGCAGUACGUAUUUUUUUACCCUUUUUAUUUUGUUUAUACAAUCAUAAAGUGAUUAUGAACCAGAGUUUUCUAUUAAGUAUUGUAAAGUAAAUAUUUAUAUUAAGUACAACCUCAAUUAUAUAAAUCAAUCAAACAUGUAAUGAGUAACAAACCUUGACAUUAAUUAGUUUAGAAAGAUAUGUAUUGAACAUCAAAAUUUAUUAAAUAUAUACUUAUAUCCUAAAGAACAUAAAAUGUCAUCUUCUAUAUUCUGAUAAUUAAACAAUUAACAUAAGUUAUGUAGAUUAAAAAAUAUGCUAAAAUACUAAUUAUAAGUAGAAAAUGAAAAAGAAAAAAAGAAAAAAGAAUAAUUUCAAGAAAAUGAAAUAGAAAAAAUGAAAAUAGAAUAAUUACAAGAAAAUGAAAAUGUGACCGUAUGUUAUAAAGGAAACCAACUCAAUCAUUUUUCCAGUGUUACAUUAGCACCAUCUUUAUUAUUUCGAGAUCCUUAUAAUCCUUACAACCAUCUCAAUCUCAUCAAAACAAUACGAAAACCCUAUCAUAAUCAUUGGUGACGCAAGAAUAAAAUUGAAAAUAAGGGGAAACACAGAUGAAUGGAGUGACAAAAUGAGAGAGUUAGAGAUGUGUAACCAUCAAAAGAUCAUCCUAUAUCAGAAAUCACUUGAUUUGUACAUUUGAUAGAUAAGAAAGAAAACUACUCAUAAAAGAUAGAAAAAUAGGAGACUAUGACAAUUUUUCAGCUGUACGUAUUUAUUUACCAUUUGUAUUUUGUUUAUACAAUCAUAAAGUGAUUAUGAACCAGAGAUUUCUAUUAAAUAAUGUAAGCUAAAUAUUUCUAUUAAGUACAUCCUCAAUUAUAUAAAUCAAUGAAACAUGUAAUGAGUUAAAAACCUUGACAUUAAUUAGUUUAGAAAGAUAUGUAUUGAACAUCAAAAUUUAUUAAAUAUAUACUUAUAUCCUAAAGAACAUAAAAUGUCAUCUUCUAUAUUCUGAUAAUUAAACAAUUAACAUAAGUUAUGUAGAUUAAAAAAUAUGCUAAAAUACUAAUUAUAAGUAGAAAAUGAAAAAGAAAAAAAGAAAAAAGAAUAAUUACAAGAAAAUGAAAAAGAAAAAAUGAAAAUAGAAUAAUUACAAGAAAAUGAAAAUGUGACCGUAUGUUAUAAAGGAAACCAACUCAAUCAUUUUUCCAGUGUUACAUUAGCACCAUCUUUAUUAUUUUGAGAUCCUUAUAAUCCUAACAACCAUCUCAAUCUCAUCAAAAUAAUACGAAAACCCUAUCAUAAUCAUUGGUGACGCAAGAAUAAAAUUGAAAAUAAGAAGAAACACAGAUGAAUAGAGUGACAAAAUGAGAGAGUUAGAGAUGUGUAACCAUCAAAAGAUCAACCUAUAUCAGAAAUCACUUGAUUUGUACAUUUGAUAGAUAAGAAAGAAAAUUACUCAUAAAAGAUAGAAAAAAAAGGAAAAUAUGACAAUUUUUCAGCAGUACGUAUUUUUUUACCCUUUUUAUUUUGUUUAUACAAUCAUAAAGUGAUUAUGAACCAGAGUUUUCUAUUAAGUAUUGUAAAGUAAAUAUUUAUAUUAAGUACAACCUCAAUUAUAUAAAUCAAUCAAACAUGUAAUGAGUAACAAACCUUGACAUUAAUUAGUUUAGAAAGAUAUGUAUUGAACAUCAAAAUUUAUUAAAUAUAUACUUAUAUCCUAAAGAACAUAAAAUGUCAUCUUCUAUAUUCUGAUAAUUAAACAAUUAACAUAAGUUAUGUAGAUUAAAAAAUAUGCUAAAAUACUAAUUAUAAGUAGAAAAUGAAAAAGAAAAAAAGAAAAAAGAAUAAUUACAAGAAAAUGAAAAAGAAAAAAUGAAAAUAGAAUAAUUACAAGAAAAUGAAAAUGUGACCGUAUGUUAUAAAGGAAACCAACUCAAUCAUUUUUCCAGUGUUACAUUAGCACCAUCUUUAUUAUUUUGAGAUCCUUAUAAUCCUAACAACCAUCUCAAUCUCAUCAAAAUAAUACGAAAACCCUAUCAUAAUCAUUGGUGACGCAAGAAUAAAAUUGAAAAUAAGAAGAAACACAGAUGAAUAGAGUGACAAAAUGAGAGAGUUAGAGAUGUGUAACCAUCAAAAGAUCAACCUAUAUCAGAAAUCACUUGAUUUGUACAUUUGAUAGAUAAGAAAGAAAAUUACUCAUAAAAGAUAGAAAAAAAAGGAAAAUAUGACAAUUUUUCAGCAGUACGUAUUUUUUUACCCUUUUUAUUUUGUUUAUACAAUCAUAAAGUGAUUAUGAACCAGAGUUUUCUAUUAAGUAUUGUAAAGUAAAUAUUUAUAUUAAGUACAACCUCAAUUAUAUAAAUCAAUCAAACAUGUAAUGAGUAACAAACCUUGACAUUAAUUAGUUUAGAAAGAUAUGUAUUGAACAUCAAAAUUUAUUAAAUAUAUACUUAUAUCCUAAAGAACAUAAAAUGUCAUCUUCUAUAUUCUGAUAAUUAAACAAUUAACAUAAGUUAUGUAGAUUAAAAAAUAUGCUAAAAUACUAAUUAUAAGUAGAAAAUGAAAAAGAAAAAAAGAAAAAAGAAUAAUUACAAGAAAAUGAAAAAGAAAAAAUGAAAAUAGAAUAAUUACAAGAAAAUGAAAAUGUGACCGUAUGUUAUAAAGGAAACCAACUCAAUCAUUUUUCCAGUGUUACAUUAGCACCAUCUUUAUUAUUUUGAGAUCCUUAUAAUCCUAACAACCAUCUCAAUCUCAUCAAAAUAAUACGAAAACCCUAUCAUAAUCAUUGGUGACGCAAGAAUAAAAUUGAAAAUAAGAAGAAACACAGAUGAAUAGAGUGACAAAAUGAGAGAGUUAGAGAUGUGUAACCAUCAAAAGAUCAACCUAUAUCAGAAAUCACUUGAUUUGUACAUUUGAUAGAUAAGAAAGAAAAUUACUCAUAAAAGAUAGAAAAAAAAGGAAAAUAUGACAAUUUUUCAGCAGUACGUAUUUUUUUACCCUUUUUAUUUUGUUUAUACAAUCAUAAAGUGAUUAUGAACCAGAGUUUUCUAUUAAGUAUUGUAAAGUAAAUAUUUAUAUUAAGUACAACCUCAAUUAUAUAAAUCAAUCAAACAUGUAAUGAGUAACAAACCUUGACAUUAAUUAGUUUAGAAAGAUAUGUAUUGAACAUCAAAAUUAAUUAAAUAUAUACUUAUAUCCUAAAGAACAUAAAAUGUCAUCUUCUAUAUUCUGAUAAUUAAACAAUUAACAUAAGUUAUGUAGAUUAAAAAAUAUGCUAAAAUACUAAUUAUAAGUAGAAAAUGAAAAAGAAAAAAAGAAAAAAGAAUAAUUACAAGAAAAUGAAAAAGAAAAAAUGAAAAUAGAAUAAUUACAAGAAAAUGAAAAUGUGACCGUAUGUUAUAAAGGAAACCAACUCAAUCAUUUUUCCAGUGUUACAUUAGCACCAUCUUUAUUAUUUUGAGAUCCUUAUAAUCCUAACAACCAUCUCAAUCUCAUCAAAAUAAUACGAAAACCCUAUCAUAAUCAUUGGUGACGCAAGAAUAAAAUUGAAAAUAAGAAGAAACACAGAUGAAUAGAGUGACAAAAUGAGAGAGUUAGAGAUGUGUAACCAUCAAAAGAUCAACCUAUAUCAGAAAUCACUUGAUUUGUACAUUUGAUAGAUAAGAAAGAAAAUUACUCAUAAAAGAUAGAAAAAAAAGGAAAAUAUGACAAUUUUUCAGCAGUACGUAUUUUUUUACCCUUUGUAUUUUGUUUAUACAAUCAUAAAGUGAUUAUGAACCAGAGAUUUCUAUUAAAUAAUGUAAGCUAAAUAUUUCUAUUAAGUACAUCCUCAAUUAUAUAAAUCAAUCAAACAUGUAAUGAGUAACAAACCUUGACAUUAAUUAGUUUAGAAAGAUAUGUAUUGAACAUCAAAAUUAAUUAAAUAUAUAAUUAUAUCCUUAAGAACAUAACAUGUCAUCUUCUAUAUUCUGAUAAUUAAACAAUUAACAUAAGUUAUAUGGAUUAAAAAAUAUGCAAAAAUACUAAUUAUAUGUAAAAAAUGAAAAAGAAAAAAAGAAAAAAGAAUAAUUACAAGAAAAUGAAAAAGAAAAAAUGAAAAUAGAAUAAUUAAAAGAAAAUGAAA